rnacentral:rRNA from 1 species
UACGUAGGGGGCUAGCGUUGUCCGGAAUCAUUGGGCGUAAAGAGCGUGUAGGCGGUCCGGUAAGUCCGCUGUGAAAGUCGGGGGCUCAACCCUCGAAUGCCGGUGGAUACUGUCGGGCUAGAGUGCGGAAGAGGCGAGUGGAAUUCCUGGUGUAGCGGUGAAAUGCGCAGAUAUCAGGAGGAACACCAUUAUGCGAAGGCAGCUCGCUGGGACGUAACUGACGCUGAGACGCGAAAGCGUGGGGAGCAAACAGG